GAACGACGAAGUCCAUUGUGUUUACACGAGCAAUGAACGUUACACUACCGAUCUGGUUGGAAGUGUCUGCAUUUUAUAUAUUACCACGCACGUUCGAUCUUAGGGACGAGAUGUUUUGAAUGUAAAUCUUUGGAUAGAAAACGACAAAAAAUUACUACCACAGAGAAGUAUGAAUGAAAGACGCGCGGCUCGCGAACAAAAUGCAGACACGAGCGCAUUCCACCGCACCAGACUGAAGACUGACGGAAAGUGCCGGGCCAAUCGUGGCCCAAAGGCGCGCGCACUAUACUUCCACCGCUAUCGCUAAAGGAAUAACUUGAUGAAGCCAAGCAAGCAUAUCACCAAUAUAUCUUUUGGGAUCAUUUGCAUGCAUUUCAAUAGGAUUAGGUGUACUACCGUAUAUUUCUCCUAAUGUUAAAGCAUCUAUGAAUGAACCCACUAAUACAGUUCUUCUUGCUGUACAAUAUUCAUCUAACACAUAUCUAAAAAAAUAUAGGUAAUAACUAUAAAUUGUUUCAGACAAGUAAUGUUAUAUUUAGACAUCAAUCCAUACUUAAAUAAAACUGGUCUAUCUUGUAAUUUAUUCAUUGCUUUAAUUAAUAAUGGUGCUAAACGUUCAUUUUCAAUAUGUUUACAUUGAUUUUGUGUCCAUCUAUAUAGCCUUUCAAGAGCUGCCUCUUGUAACAGAGUCAUCCUUUGCAUAAUAUCUAAUCCUAAUGUUUGAUAUCCUGAUUGCAUUAAUAUCCUACAACUGCUAUGGAUUUC